CUAAUACAUGCAAGUCGAGCGGACUUGAUGGAGUGCUUGCACUCCUGAAGGUUAGCGGCGGACGGGUGAGUAACACGUAGGCAACCUGCCCUCAAGACUGGGAUAACUACCGGAAACGGUAGCUAAUACCGGAUAAUUUAUUUCACAGCAUUGUGGAAUAAUGAAAGACGGAGCAAUCUGUCACUUGGGGAUGGGCCUGCGGCGCAUUAGCUAGUUGGUGGGGUAAUGGCUCACCAAGGCGACGAUGCGUAGCCGACCUGAGAGGGUGAACGGCCACACUGGGACUGAGACACGGCCCAGACUCCUACGGGAGGCAGCAGUAGGGAAUCUUCCGCAAUGGGCGAAAGCCUGACGGAGCAACGCCGCGCGAGUGAUGAAGGUUUUCGGAUCGUAAAGCUCUGUUGCCAAGGAAGAACGUCUUCUAGAGUAACUGCUAGGAGAGUGACGGUACUUGAGAAGAAAGCCCCGGCUAACUACGUGCCAGCAGCCGCGGUAAUACGUAGGGGGCAAGCGUUGUCCGGAAUUAUUGGGCGUAAAGCGCGCGCAGGCGGUUCUUUAAGUCUGGUGUUUAAACCCGAGGCUCAACUUCGGGUCGCACUGGAAACUGGGGGACUUGAGUGCAGAAGAGGAGAGUGGAAUUCCACGUGUAGCGGUGAAAUGCGUAGAUAUGUGGAGGAACACCAGUGGCGAAGGCGACUCUCUGGGCUGUAACUGACGC
rnacentral:rRNA from 1 species